GUUGUAUGGUUAAGUGACUAAGCGUACACGGUGGAUGCCUUGGCAGUCAGAGGCGAUGAAAGACGUAGUAACUUGCGAUAAGCCCAGAUUAGGUAGUAACAACCAUUUGAGUCUGGGAUUUCUGAAUGGGGAAACCCACGUGCAUAAGCACGUAUCCUUACCUGAAUACAUAGGGUAAGGAGGCGAACCGGGGGAACUGAAACAUCUAAGUACCCCGAGGAAAAGAAAUCAACCGAGAUUCCGAAAGUAGCGGCGAGCGAAAUUGGACUAGCCCUUAAGCUUUACACGCGUUAGACGAACGGUCUGGAAAGUCCGACGAUACAGGGUGAUAGUCCCGUAGUUGACGACGUGUGUUCAGUGAAAUCGAGUAGGGCGGGACACGUGAUAUCCUGUCUGAAUAUGGGGGGACCAUCCUCCAAGGCUAAAUACUACUGACUGACCGAUAGUGAACCAGUACCGUGAGGGAAAGGCGAAAAGAACCCCAGUGAGGGGAGUGAAAUAGAACCUGAAACCGUGUACGUACAAGCAGUAGGAGCAGGCUUUGUCCUGUGACUGCGUACCUUUUGUAUAAUGGGUCAGCGACUUAUAUUCAGUGGCAAGGUUAACCAUCUAGGGGAGCCGUAGGGAAACCGAGUCUUAACUGGGCGUUCAGUCUCUGGAUAUAGACCCGAAACCAGGUGAUCUAGCCAUGGGCAGGUUGAAGGUUGAGUAACAUCAACUGGAGGACCGAACCGACUAAUGUUGAAAAAUUAGCGGAUGACUUGUGGCUAGGGGUGAAAGGCCAAUCAAACCUGGAGAUAGCUGGUUCUCCCCGAAAGCUAUUUAGGUAGCGCCUCGGACGAAUACUACUGGGGGUAGAGCACUGUUAAGGCUAGGGGGUCAUCCCGACUUACCAACCCUUUGCAAACUCCGAAUACCAGUAAGUACUAUCCGGGAGACACACGGCGGGUGCUAACGUCCGUCGUGGAGAGGGAAACAACCCAGACCGCCAGCUAAGGUCCCAAAUUACUACUAAGUGGGAAACGAUGUGGGAAGGCUCAGACAGCCAGGAUGUUGGCUUAGAAGCAGCCAUCAUUUAAAGAAAGCGUAAUAGCUCACUGGUCGAGUCGGCCUGCGCGGAAGAUGUAACGGGGCUAAGUAGUAAACCGAAGCUGCGGCAAUAUACUUUAGUAUAUUGGGUAGGGGAGCGUUCUGUAAGCGGUUGAAGGUGUGUGGUAACGCAUGCUGGACGUAUCAGAAGUGCGAAUGCUGACAUGAGUAACGAUAAAGGGGGUGAAAAACCUCCUCGCCGGAAGACCAAGGGUUCCUGUCCAACGUUAAUCGGGGCAGGGUAAGUCGACCCCUAAGGCGAGGCCGAAAGGCGUAGUCGAUGGGAAACGGGUUAAUAUUCCCGUACUUCUUACAAUUGCGAUGGGGGGACGGAGAAGGCUAGGUGGGCCUGGCGACGGUUGUCCAGGUUCAAGUGCGUAGGCUUAAGAGUUAGGUAAAUCCGGCUCUUUUUAAGGCUGAGACACGACGUCGAGCACCUACGGGUGUGAAGUCAUUGAUGCCAUGCUUCCAGGAAAAGCCUCUAAGCUUCAGAUUGUAAGGAAUCGUACCCCAAACCGACACAGGUGGUCGGGUAGAGAAUACCAAGGCGCUUGAGAGAACUCGGGUGAAGGAACUAGGCAAAAUGGUACCGUAACUUCGGGAGAAGGUACGCUCUUGAUGGUGAAGUCCCUUGCGGAUGGAGCUGACGAGAGUCGCAGAUACCAGGUGGCUGCAACUGUUUAUUAAAAACACAGCACUGUGCAAAAUCGUAAGAUGACGUAUACGGUGUGACGCCUGCCCGGUGCCGGAAGGUUAAUUGAUGGGGUUAGACUUCGGUCGAAGCUCUUGAUCGAAGCCCCGGUAAACGGCGGCCGUAACUAUAACGGUCCUAAGGUAGCGAAAUUCCUUGUCGGGUAAGUUCCGACCUGCACGAAUGGCGUAAUGAUGGCCACGCUGUCUCCACCCGAGACUCAGUGAAAUUGAAAUCGCUGUGAAGAUGCAGUGUACCCGCGGCUAGACGGAAAGACCCCGUGAACCUUUACUACAGCUUGGCACUGAACAUUGACCCUACAUGUGUAGGAUAGGUGGGAGGCUUUGAAGCACGUACGCCAGUAUGUGUGGAGCCGUCCUUGAAAUACCACCCUUGUAGUGUUGAUGUUCUAACGUCGACCCCUAAUCGGGGUUGCGGACAGUGCCUGGUGGGUAGUUUGACUGGGGCGGUCUCCUCCCAAAGAGUAACGGAGGAGCACGAAGGUGGGCUAAUCACGGUUGGACAUCGUGAGGUUAGUGCAAUGGCAUAAGCCCGCUUGACUGCGAGAAUGACAAUUCGAGCAGGUGCGAAAGCAGGUCAUAGUGAUCCGGUGGUUCUGAAUGGAAGGGCCAUCGCUCAACGGAUAAAAGGUACUCCGGGGAUAACAGGCUGAUACCGCCCAAGAGUUCAUAUCGACGGCGGUGUUUGGCACCUCGAUGUCGGCUCAUCACAUCCUGGGGCUGAAGUCGGUCCCAAGGGUAUGGCUGUUCGCCAUUUAAAGUGGUACGCGAGCUGGGUUUAGAACGUCGUGAGACAGUUCGGUCCCUAUCUGCCGUGGGCGUUGGAAGAUUGAAGGGGGCUGCUCCUAGUACGAGAGGACCGGAGUGGACGAACCUCUGGUGUUCGGGUUGUGUCGCCAGACGCAUUGCCCGGUAGCUAAGUUCGGAAUCGAUAACCGCUGAAAGCAUCUAAGCGGGAAGCGAGCCCUGAGAUGAGUCUUCCCUGAUACUUUAAGUAUCCUAAAGGGUUGUCGGAGACUACGACGUUGAUAGGUCAGGUGUGUAAGUGCUGUGAGGCAUUGAGCUAACUGAUACUAAUUGCCCGUGAGGCUUAACCAUACAACACCCAAGGGGUUU
rnacentral:rRNA from 1 species